GAUGAACGCUGGCGGCGUGCCUAAUACAUGCAAGUCGAGCGAACAGACGAGGAGCUUGCUCCUCUGACGUUAGCGGCGGACGGGUGAGUAACACGUGGAUAACCUACCUAUAAGACUGGGAUAACUUCGGGAAACCGGAGCUAAUACCGGAUAAUAUAUUGAACCGCAUGGUUCAAUAGUGAAAGACGGUUUUGCUGUCACUUAUAGAUGAAUCCGCGCCGCAUUAGCUAGUUGGUAAGGUAACGGCUUACCAAGGCAACGAUGCGUAGCCGACCUGAGAGGGUGAUCGGCCACACUGGAACUGAGACACGGUCCAGACUCCUACGGGAGGCAGCAGUAGGGAAUCUUCCGCAAUGGGCGAAAGCCUGACGGAGCAACGCCGCGUGAGUGAUGAAGGUCUUCGGAUCGUAAAACUCUGUUAUUAGGGAAGAACAAAUGUGUAAGUAACUGUGCACGUCUUGACGGUACCUAAUCAGAAAGCCACGGCUAACUACGUG
rnacentral:rRNA from 1 species